rnacentral:rRNA from 1 species
AUUUGGGCACGCGAUGUGUAGGAUAGGUCGGAGGCUUUGAAGCAGGUACGCCAGUAUUUGUGGAGCCGCUGUUGAAAUACGACCCUUCGUUUGUUUGAGUUCUAACUUCUGAUUGAAGGACAUUGCUUGGUGGGUAGUUUGACUGGGGUGGUCGCCUCCAAAAGCGUAACGGAGGCUUCUAAAGGUACCCUCAGGCCGAUCGGUAACCGGCCCAAGAGUG